UAGAGGAAGUAAAAGUCGUAACAAGGUCUCCGUUGGUGAACCAGCGGAGGGAUCAUUACUGAGUUUACGCUCUAUAACCCUUUGUGAACAUACCUAUAACUGUUGCUUCGGCGGGUAGGGUCUCCGUGACCCUCCCGGCCUCCCGCCUCCGGGCGGGUCGGCGCCCGCCGGAGGAUAACCAAACUCUGAUUUAACGACGUUUCUUCUGAGUGGUACAAGCAAAUAAUCAAAACUUUUAACAACGGAUCUCUUGGUUCUGGCAUCGAUGAAGAACGCAGCGAAAUGCGAUAAGUAAUGUGAAUUGCAGAAUUCAGUGAAUCAUCGAAUCUUUGAACGCACAUUGCGCCCGCCAGCAUUCUGGCGGGCAUGCCUGUUCGAGCGUCAUUUCAACCCUCAAGCUCUGCUUGGUGUUGGGGCCCUACAGCUGAUGUAGGCCCUCAAAGGUAGUGGCGGACCCUCUCGGAGCCUCCUUUGCGUAGUAACUUUACGUCUCGCACUGGGAUCCGGAGGGACUCUUGCCGUAAAACCCCCAAUUUUCCAAAGGUUGACCUCGGAUCAGGUAGGAAUACCCGCUGAACUUAAGCAUAUCAAUAAGCGG
rnacentral:rRNA from 1 species